GAAAUAGACAAUUUUGAUAUUUUAUAAAAUCAAAACUGCUAAAGAUAUUGGCUCUCAUGAUGAAGGGUUUAUAAGAAAUCUCUGUAAAUCUUUGUCCCUAAAUGCAAGGAUGAUGUCAACAAAAGAAUCCCCAUCAUGUGACUGGCAAGUCCAAGAUAACUACAAAUGCUGUUGUGAAAACAUAUUGUGUGUUGGAAUUGUCCAAAACAAAUUUGAUUACUAUUACAAUAGUAACAGCAUUUUUAAGCACAUUUUGGGAAAAAGCACUUUUGAGAAUAUAAUCAAUUUAAGAUUGGAGCUAGAAAUUCAAAUCCACAGAAUAUCUGCGUAAAUGUAAGAGUUUUGGAAGAUCACCAAUUUCAGAGGAACAGAUGAAUUGUAUUCAAGCCACUUAUGCACAGAGCUCUAGGAAAUUCACAACUGUGGCAAAUUUAAAGUUAGGAAUUCCAUAACAGACUGUGUAGAUGGCUGAAAAUGAAGCCAUAGAGACUUCAGCUGUUAUAACAUCUAGUCAAUGAGGAUGAAAGUGUAUGUGCAGCUUUCUGUGAAGAUACAUAAGAAUAGUGUGAAGGUUUUUUUGUGAGUGUCUAAAUUUUUAGUGAAGAGUCUACAUUCCAUCUGAGUGGCAACUUAACAAGCAGAAUAUUUGAAUAUGGUGGUUUAAAAUCCCAGAGCAACAAUGGACCAUGUGAAGGAUUCCUCAAAAGUAAAUGUUUUUUUGCAUUGUAUCCAAGGAAAAAACAUAAAGACCCUUCUUUUUUUAAGAAAACACUAUAACAGGAUGAUGUUAUUUGGAUAUGCUAACUGAAUACUUCAUGCCAUGACUGCUUGAAAACUAUGCCAAUUUCAUUUUCCAAUAAGAUGAAGAUCUGCUACACUGACAUCAACAUGUACAACAUUACUUAUGAGGAGAGGUUGCAAAGUGGAAUCCAUCAAUUUUGAUGAAACUUAAUAUGGCUAUAGAGUAUGUCUUCCUGAAUAUA
rnacentral:lncRNA from 1 species